rnacentral:rRNA from 1 species
AGCUAGAGAUGGAUCUCGGACGGUGCAAGCACAGCUUAGCUCUGUAGGAUCAGUGGCGAACGGGUGAGUAACACGUGAGCAACGUGCCCCAGACUCUGGGAUAACAGCUGGAAACAGCUGCUAAUACCGGAUACGAGACGUGAAGGCAUCUUCAACGUCUGGAAAGAAUUUCGGUCUGGGAUCGGCUCGCGGCCUAUCAGCUAGUUGGUGAGGUAACGGCUCACCAAGGCGUCGACGGGUAGCCGGCCUGAGAGGGUGACCGGCCACACUGGGACUGAGACACGGCCCAGACUCCUACGGGAGGCAGCAGUGGGGAAUAUUGCACAAUGGGCGAAAGCCUGAUGCAGCAACGCCGCGUGAGGGACGACGGCCUUCGGGUUGUAAACCUCUUUUAGCAGGGAAGAAGCGAAAGUGACGGUACCUGCAGAAAAAGCACCGGCUAACUACGUGCCAGCAGCCGCGGUAAUACGUAGGGUGCAAGCGUUAUCCGGAAUUAUUGGGCGUAAAGAGCUCGUAGGCGGUUUGUCGCGUCUGCUGUGAAAACCCGAGGCUCAACCUCGGGCCUGCAGUGGGUACGGGCAGACUAGAGUGCGGUAGGGGAGAUUGGAACUCCUGGUGUAGCGGUGGAAUGCGCAGAUAUCAGGAAGAACACCGAUGGCGAAGGCAGAUCUCUGGGCCGUAACUGACGCUGAGGAGCGAAAGGGUGGGGAGCAAACAGGCUUAGAUACCCUGGUAGUCCACCCCGUAAACGUUGGGAACUAGUUGUGGGGUCCAUUCCACGGAUUCCGUGACGCAGCUAACGCAUUAAGUUCCCCGCCUGGGGAGUACGGCCGCAAGGCUAAAACUCAAAGGAAUUGACGGGGACCCGCACAAGCGGCGGAGCAUGCGGAUUAAUUCGAUGCAACGCGAAGAACCUUACCAAGGCUUGACAUAUACGAGAACGGGCUAGAAAUAGUCAACUCUUUGGACACUCGUAAACAGGUGGUGCAUGGUUGUCGUCAGCUCGUGUCGUGAGAUGUUGGGUUAAGUCCCGCAACGAGCGCAACCCUCGUUCUAUGUUGCCAGCACGUAAUGGUGGGAACUCAUGGGAUACUGCCGGGGUCAACUCGGAGGAAGGUGGGGAUGACGUCAAAUCAUCAUGCCCCUUAUGUCUUGGGCUUCACGCAUGCUACAAUGGCCGGUACAAAGGGCUGCAAUACCGUAAGGUGGAGCGAAUCCCAAAAAGCCGGUCCCAGUUCGGAUUGAGGUCUGCAACUCGACCUCAUGAAGUCGGAGUCGCUAGUAAUCGCAGAUCAGCAACGCUGCGGUGAAUACGUUCCCGGGUCUUGUACACACCGCCCGUCAAGUCAUGAAAGUCGGUAACACCUGAAGCCGGUGGCCCAACCCUUGUGGAGGGAGCCGUCGAA